GCGGGGGUAGGAUGGGGUUCUUGGCACCAGCAGCCUUCUGACCGCAUGGAACAGCAGCUGGCCAAGGUCUCAACUGUGUAUAAAAAGAGACGCUGGGACUGCAGCGGCAGGACUCCACCUCCCAGCCGAUGAGGAGUCUUCCACCACUUCUCCAGGGACCGGCACAGCUCAUUGCCACCACGGACCCAGCAGCCCAGCGGCCUGGACUCCAGGCGGAUGACUUUCCAUCUGGUGCUGGAGGCAGGAGUGCUAGCUGAAGGUGUCUGUAGGCACUGGAUCCAAGCCGCAGUGCUUCCUAACACCUGGGCCGGGGUAUGUGGCUCAGUGGCAACGUACUUGCCUAGCAAACAAUGAGGCCCUAGGUCCAUCCCCAGUGCCACAAAAAAGGAAAAAAAAAAUCAAUAAAGUUGAUUUCAUUUAAACUUAUUAAAUGUAGUAACACUGACCAGAAUAAAAUGUUCAGACAAA